GCAAACUUGGUCAUUUAGAGGAAGUAAAAGUCGUAACAAGGUUUCCGUAGGUGAACCUGCGGAAGGAUCAUUCACAAUAAGUGUUUAUGGCACUUUCAAAUCCAUACCCACCUUGUGUGCAAUGUAAGAGCCCUUUUCAACUCUCUCUCCUCUGGGGGGGAAAAGGAGGAUUGGGCUUCAUUUUCUCUCACACGUCUUCAAUUGCAAGUCUAACCUUCAGAGUAAUCAAAACUCGAAUACAACUUUCAACAACGGAUCUCUUGGCUCUCGCAUCGAUGAAGAACGCAGC
rnacentral:misc_RNA from 1 species